AUCCAGCUGACCCGGGAAUUUUGGAAGCUGUAAUUAGAAAAACAACACUUCUAAACUCUAGGAUAUCUACAUACUCCACUCUACACCACUUCACGUCCUCCACCACCACUCAAACAGACAAAAGAAAAUGGUGCCAGUUACUCCUUACUGGGCUGUUUGGAGGUUCCUCCCAUUUUCUCCCCAAAGAGAUUUUGAGAACUUGCAGACCUCAGAUAACCCCCAAGUGGCCAGAUAUGCAUGAGCAGUGCUGCUUUGGCCGCAGUCCGGGAAACAUGGGAAACCCUGAUUGGGAAAUAUUGCAUCUUUUUGAAACCAGCAUCAAACAUUGAUCUAUACAACAUUUCUGCAUGUCAGAAAUAUCAAACUAUUUAUUUGUCUGGAGGCUAUAAAGCAUUGCAACUCACUGUGAAUUUUACUGAGAUUUUCUACUGAAGAAAAUUGUUCUGCAGUAAAGCAUAUCUAUCACGAAAGAAUUCUUGCAAGCUCAGCUGUCAGAGAGAAAUAUUAUAUAGUAGAGGCUUCCACAACCUGGUGUCCUCCAGGUGUGUUGCACUGCAAGUCCCAUCAUCCCCACCCAAGUUGGAAAGGCAAAUCUCUGGGGCAUAGCAGUGCAAAAGGCUAAUUUAGUAUUCUAUUUCAAAAAUAGUUACAGGAAAUGAAAUAUAUGAGGACUGCCAUGUAAACAAGUAUCUGAGACAACCAAGAUAGUUUCUCCAAUCCUAAUGAUCUGUAGUCACUAGCUUCAGUAGACCAGUAUUUUUAGAUUGAUACAUAAAGCAAUUUGGGCAGACUUUAUUGUAAUAUAUACCUUGAUUCUAGAUUAGAAUUUAACUAGCUUUUGUUCAUCUCAUCAGCACUGUCCUGAUAUAAUUACAUUUAGUACUUACAAGGAGUAGAUGAAUUUCAGUCCCAUUACAUCCUUCAAAUUACUAGAAUAAUUGUUGAGGAGUUGAUAGUGGUUGAGAUUAUGCCAGCAGCCCAUCCCAGUAAUUCACACAAUGUGCUGACUGCAAGAAAGAAAACCCUUGUUCUUUCAGAAAACAUCAGAAUUUUCUAAAGUACAGUGAGAUCAUUUCAGUACCUAUCAAAGAGAUACCCAUUGCUUCUGAGUUCCUGAUAAAGAUCAGAGUAGCUUUCCGUAUAGAACAAGCUUGACCUACAUUCCAUAGUUAGAUACCCCAGGAGAUCAGAGGUAUGGAACAUUUGGGCCUCCAGGUGUUUGAGAUGUAGACUUCCAGCAAAUCCAUCUGGCCAGUGCUAAUGGGAUUCUGGAUAUUGUCAUCCAGAGCAUCUCAAGGGUCCAAGAUCCCUCAUCCAUUCCCUCGACGGCCGCGCUGUGCGUGCUCUCAAGUGCUGAAAUUUUUUUACUCUUCAAGCUGAGAGAGACUAGGAAUAUGUUACUUCUUGCAGCAAGGAAAUGCGUUUGUUUUAUGGCUCCACGUUACAAACUCCCUCUCUUUAAGGGAUCAAAGUCAUGGACUGGAAGCAGGACAUAGCAUUCAACCUCACAACAGAAUUCAACUGAAUGUAAUCUGGAGGAAGCUGAAAUUUUCACUCAGAUCUGAAUAUUUUAAAUCAAAAAUUAAUUUCAGUGUACUGUGUUAAGAAGCUUGAAUACAUCCCAAAAUAAAUACAA